UACGUCGGGGGCAAGCGUUGUCCGGAUUUACUGGGCGUAAAGAGCGCGUAGGCGGAAGCUUAAGUGUGGCCUGAAAGCCCCCGGCUCAACCGGGGAAGGUGGCUGCAAACUGGGUUUCUUGAGGGCGAUAGGGGAGAGCGGAAUUCCUGGUGUAGCGGUGAAAUGCGUAGAGAUCAGGAGGAACACCAAUGGCGAAGGCAGCUCGCUGGGACGGUACUGACGCUGAGACGCGAAAGCGUGGGGAGCAAACAGG
rnacentral:rRNA from 1 species